rnacentral:rRNA from 1 species
CAGGCCUAACACAUGCAAGUCGAACGGCAGCACAGUAAGAGCUUGCUCUUACGGGUGGCGAGUGGCGGACGGGUGAGGAAUACAUCGGAAUCUACUUUUUCGUGGGGGAUAACGUAGGGAAACUUACGCUAAUACCGCAUACGACCUACGGGUGAAAGCAGGGGACCUUCGGGCCUUGCGCGAUUGAAUGAGCCGAUGUCGGAUUAGCUAGUUGGCGGGGUAAAGGCCCACCAAGGCGACGAUCCGUAGCUGGUCUGAGAGGAUGAUCAGCCACACUGGAACUGAGACACGGUCCAGACUCCUACGGGAGGCAGCAGUGGGGAAUAUUGGACAAUGGGCGCAAGCCUGAUCCAGCCAUACCGCGUGGGUGAAGAAGGCCUUCGGGUUGUAAAGCCCUUUUGUUGGGAAAGAAAUCCAGCCGGUUAAUACCUGGUUGGGAUGACGGUACCCAAAGAAUAAGCACCGGCUAACUUCGUGCCAGCAGCCGCGGUAAU